rnacentral:rRNA from 1 species
UCUUCGUGAACAUGGCGUACUGCUCAGUAACACGUGGAUAAUCUGCCCUUAGGUCUGGAAUAACCCCGGGAAACUGGGGAUAAUACCGGAUAACGCAUAUAUGCUGGAAUGCUUUAUGCGUCAAAGGUCCGCCGCCUAAGGAUGGGUCUGCGGCCUAUCAGGUAGUAGCGGGUGUAAUGUACCUGCUAGCCGACGACGGGUACGGGUUGUGAGAGCAAGAGCCCGGAGAUGGAUUCUGAGACAUGAAUCCAGGCCCUACGGGGCGCAGCAGGCGCGAAAACUUUACAAUGCGGGCAACCGUGAUAAGGGGACACCGAGUGCCAGCAACAUUUGCUGGCUGUCCAGGUGCGUAAAAUGCACCUGUUAGCAAGGGCCGGGCAAGACCGGUGCCAGCCGCCGCGGUAACACCGGCGGCCCGAGUGGUGAUCGUUAUUAUUGGGUCUAAAGGGUCCGUAGCCGGUUUGGUCAGUCCUCCGGGAAAUCUGUCAGCUCAACUGAUAGGCUUUCGGGGGAUACUGCCAGACUUGGAACCGGGAGAGGUAAGAGGUACUACAGGGGUAGGAGUGAAAUCUUGUAAUCCCUGUGGGACCACCUGUGGCGAAGGCGUCUUACCAGAACGGGUUCGACGGUGAGGGACGAAAGCUGGGGGCACGAACCGGAUUAGAUACCCGGGUAGUCCCAGCCGUAAACGAUGCGCGUU